AAGCCCACCGGCGAUGGAUUUUUAACGCAACUGUUGAGAUUAGCGGACGCAUGCGUGUUAGAAGCCCCUAACGGAUACUAUUUUGAAAUGCCCACUUUAAAUCUCAUCUUUCAAAUGUGUAGUUAAACAUUGGAUUUGGUUGCAUGUGUUUUCUUUUCUGAUAUGAUUACAGAGCCCUCUGCUAAACGCCUUAAAACAGCAAUGGCUUCUGAAAAUCUAAACCCAUUCUGGCAAUGAAUUUGAAGAGUAUUGCGAGCAUCUCAACCAGUUGAAUGAUAAGAGAGAGAGACUUGUGAAGGCAAGCUGUGAUGUUACGCAGAACGGCAAGAAGGUUGUUUUUCAGGUUCACAGAUAUCGGAAGGAAGGCAGAUGCAGACAAGGACGAAGCAGCAAGACGAAGGCAACAUUAAGACUACUCCAACCGUUCCAGUCAUUCAGGCAAUGACUGGUUCCAUUCUCAACAUGUUCUCUUUACUUUUGUACUCAUGUAUACAUGUCUAUUUAUUUCCUUCCUGCA